ACAUAAUUUGUUCUAACUAAAUAAUUGGAAACUUGAAGAUGUCUGCCACUAAGCUGUUGUUGUGUUUGGUUAUCCUUGGAGUUUUCAUUGAGUUAAAUACAGCUCUCCUAAUGGGAUUUUCUGAGAAUGCAAAAGUAAAGGACAUGGGAUUGACUGAAAAUGAAGAGGAUGCCCCUCUAAGAUUGAGAGCAAAACGAUCAAACAGCAGAAGAAGACGUAGUAUGGUUGGAUAUAUAAAGGAACAACAACAGUAAAGUUCAUGUCAAAAAAAAUUUCAUGUCAAAAAUUACAUUAUGCCAAAAUAUAUAAUGUGCAAUAUGAUUUAAGUUUGACAGUACCAUUUUGUAUAUGUUCGCAAUCGUGUUCACCCUGCUGUGGUAUUUAAAUAAAACAUGACCCUGCAUUGACUCACUAA